rnacentral:rRNA from 1 species
CCUACGGGUGACUGCAGUGAGGAAUAUUGGUCAAUGGGCGAGAGCCUGAACCAGCCAAGUCGCGUGAAGGAUGAAUGUCCUACGGGUUGUAAACUUCUUUUGUCAGGGAGCAAAUUGGCCCACGUGUGGGUUUAGCGACAGUCCUUGAAGAAAAAGCAUGGGUUAACUCCGUGCCAGCAGCCGCGGUAAUACGGAGGAUGCGAGCGUUACCCGGAUUUAUUGGGUUUAAAGGUUCCGUAGGCGGAAUAUCAAGUCAGCGGUAAAAAUUCGGGGCUCAACCCCGUCGUGCCGUUGAAACUGAUGUUCUUGAGUGGGCGAGAAGUAUGCGGAAUGCGUGGUGUAGCGGUGAAAUGCAUAGAUAUCACGCAGAACUCCGAUUGCGAAGGCAGCAUACCGGCGCCCAACUGACGCUGAAGCACGAAAGCGUGGGUAUCGAACAGGAUUAGAUACCCUAGUAGUC